rnacentral:snRNA from 1 species
GUUCAUCCCUGAACAUUUGCUAACAAUGGAACGAUACAGAGAAUAUUAACACGGCCCCGGUGCGAAGAUGCAAAUCCGUGAUCAACUUCUAUUACUU